AUACUUACCUGGCAGGGGAGAUAUCAUGAUCAUGAAGGUGGUUCACCUUACAAUUUUCAUGAAAAAAAUAUGACUUUGUCUCUGCCUGUGCCUGGUUCCCGGAGGAACGCAGUGAAGUUUGAUUUGCAAAAUGAUAUAGAAAUGGAUAGACUUCAGUUUAGUCGACU
rnacentral:snRNA from 1 species